rnacentral:rRNA from 1 species
CACUGCCGAGAAAAGCCUCUAGAUAGAAAAUAGGUGCCCGUACCGCAAACCGACACAGGUAGUCAAGAUGAGAAUUCUAAGGUGAGCGAGCGAACUCUCGUUAAGGAACUCGGCAAAAUGACCCCGUAACUUCGGGAGAAGGGGUGCUCUUUAGGGUUAACGCCCAGAAGAGCCGCAGUGAAUAGGCCCAAGCGACUGUUUAUCAAAAACACAGGUCUCUGCUAAACCGUAAGGUGAUGUAUAGGGGCUGACGCCUGCCCGGUGCUGGAAGGUUAAGAGGAGUGGUUAGCUUCUGCGAAGCUACGAAUCGAAGCCCCAGUAAACGGCGGCCGUAACUAUAACGGUCCUAAGGUAGCGAAAUUCCUUGUCGGGUAAGUUCCGACCCGCACGAAAGGCGUAACGAUUUGGGCACUGUCUCAACGAGAGACUCGGUGAAAUCAUAGUACCUGUGAAGAUGCAGGUUACCCGCGACAGGACGGAAAGACCCCGUGGAGCUUUACUGUAGCCUGAUAUUGAAAUUCGGCACAGCUUGUACAGGAUAGGUAGGAGCCUUUGAAACGUGAGCGCUAGCUUACGUGGAGG